rnacentral:rRNA from 1 species
UACGUAGGGUGCGAGCGUUGUCCGGAAUUAUUGGGCGUAAAGGGCUCGUAGGCGGUCUGUUGCGUCUGCUGUGAAAACCCGGGGCUUAACCCCUGGCUUGCAGUGGAUACGGACAGACUAGAGGUAGGUAGGGGAGAAUGGAAUUCCCGGUGUAGCGGUGAAAUGCGCAGAUAUCGGGAGGAACACCGGUGGCGAAGGCGGUUCUCUGGGCCUUACCUGACGCUGAGGAGCGAAAGCGUGGGGAGCGAACAGG